UUUUUACAUACUGGUGAGUGCCUCUGAGGUUCCCUCAGACAUCAGCUUUCUCCCCACUAGCCAGCUAACAGGACUCCUUAGAGGAGAAGAGCAGGGGGCCCAGUGCUAGGCGGGGACAGCAGGGAAUGGGGGUCAGUUCAUUAACAGUGCCCCCGCAAUGAUGCAUCACAGCUCUUCUCUCAGGAAAUCCCGGCAGCUCUCAGUCAACCCUACGGUUUACAUCUCAGGAUCCGUUCUCUUUUGGAAUAAUUGAAUGUGUGAUUACCGGAGGUUUCCCAUAUAUAGUAGCCUCCCCAAGAGUUAUACUUGAGUGUUUUUUGCUCUUUGAUCCUGGAUCAAUUUGAAAGAAGACAAUGCUGUCUUAGCAAUUGAUAUACUAGAGACAGUGGAGACUAUUCAUAGUUGAAGGCCCCUGUGGGGAAAAGGCUAUAAAGGUUCGCAAUAAACCUGACAGAAUGGUAUACAAAUAGGUGGCUAGAAAUGCCUUUCUGCUCCUAAGAGACCACUGACGCUCUGUGUAUAGCCUGCCAGGGGAGGGGGAGCCACAGGUGAGUUGGAGAGCACAGAACCCAGUUGCCCGCUCCCAGUGCACACUUCCCAUCUUGUGAGUCAGCCCCUCUGCCCGUAAGCACCACAGAGUCCCAGCUUUACCAGAUACCAUGGCACAGGGACCUUUCCUCUUUAGGUGAAUUUCAAAAUUGCCACUGUCAACUUGGGACAAAAAUAACAAGUUGUCACAACCAGACAUGUCACCAUGGGGAAUAGAGGAAGUCAUUUUAACGCAACAGAAAGGUAGACUGAAUAAGUAAGAAUAAAUGCAGGUGGGAGAGGCUUGCAGAAUGCCUGGAGUCUGAAGCAUUUCUUGCACCAACAGGAAAUGUACCUAGCUAAUGUGGUCCUGGACCCAGACACUGCUCAUCCUGAGCUCUUCCUGUCAGAGGAUCUGAGAAGUGUGAGGCGGGACCCCUCCAGGGAGAGCGUGCAGGACAACCCAGAGAGAUUCGACAGUCAGCCCUGUGUCCUGGGCCGGGAGAGCUCGCCUUUGGGAAACAUUACUGGGAGGUGGAGGUGGAAAACGUGAUGGUGUGGACGGUCAGGGUGUGUAGAGACAGUGUUGAGAGGAAAGGGGAGGUCCUGCUGCUUCCUCAGAAUGGCUUCUGGACCUUGGAGAUGUGUGAAAGCGAAUACUGGGCCCUGACCACACCUAAGUGGAUUCUCUCUAUGGAGGAGUCCCUUUGCCGGGUAGGCGUCUUCCUGGACUAUGAAGCUGGAGACGUCUCCUUCUACAACAUGGGGAACAGAUCACACAUCUACACAUGCCUCCGUUCAGUCUUUUCUGUGCCUGUGAGGCCCUUCUUCAGGUUAGGGUCUUAUGACAUCCCCAUCUUAAUCUGCCCCACCCUCGCA